rnacentral:lncRNA from 1 species
GCGGGAAAACCGGAACAGGAACUAGAUCUGAAAAAAAAGUUAACGAUUUUGAGUUCAUUAGUACAAUGAAAAUUCGGGAAAUUUUCCCAAUUUUUUUUUUUUUUUUUUUUUUUAUUGAUUUUUCUACCGUAAUUAGGGACUUCGUCCCCAUAAUAUGAGGCAGGCAUUACCUGUAAAUGGGGACGAAGUCUGUAUGAAUUAUUUUUUUGUAACCUUAGUCCUAAAUAUUUGUUACAAAAAAAGAAACGGAAAUACCGUAACGUUUCCGAUUUUGGUUCUGUUGUUAGGGAUUUAAGUUAUGACGUCAUAUACAAUGUAAACAAAGAAACGCUAUCAGCAGGAGUAACGUUUUAAUUAUUUAAAAUGAAAUUGGUAUUGCGUUUCUUCCUAUUUAUACUAGACUGAUAAAUAUAUAUAUUUUACUCAAAGAUUCAUACAAACAAGACCGGAAAAAGGAAGUACAUUGUAUAUUUCUGCGCAGGUCCGGGAUUUCAAAACAUGACAUAAAAAAAAUUGAACGAUUUUGAGUUCAUUAGUACAAUGAAAAAUUCGGGAAAUUUUCCCGAAUUUUUGUUUUUAUUGAAUUUUCUACUGUUAUUGGGGACUUCGUCCCCAUAUAAACAUUUAGCAUUGAAAGAAAGAAAAAUACAGAUUAUUAAUUUUAAUUAUAAUACUACAAAUGUAUUUUCAACUGCAUGCCUCGGUCGUCUUUAAAAUAAUUAAUUCAAAUAUUAUGCUUAUGAAUAAAAAUAAAGAUAUAUAGUAAUUGAACUUCAUAAAUGUUGAUCAAGGAUAUACAAAUACUUAUGGUUUUUUUCAAGAUUAUUGUCUAAUUAUAUUAAAACGUUUAUAACAAAUAGUUACAUGCACAACGGUACAAGCCGAUCCCCAAGCUGAU